GCUCGGUUAGCUCAGUUGGUUAGAGUACCUCCUUGACAUGGAGGGGGUCACAGGUUCGAGUCCUGUACCGAGCA
rnacentral:tRNA from 1 species